GUGGUGCACAGGCUUCUCCUUGCAAUGGCUUCUCUUGCUGUGGAGUUCAGGCUCAGCUGUUGCAGUGUGCAGGCUCCAGAGAUUGUAGGCUCAGUAGUUGUAGUUCGCGGGCUCUAGAGCACGGGCUCAGUAGCUGUGGUUCAUCAGCUUAGUUGCUCCAGGGCUCGUGGAAUCUUCCCAGACCAAGGAUCAAACCCCGAGACCCCUGCAUUGGCAGGCAGAUUCAUAUCCACUGUACCAACAGGAAAGUCCUUCACGGACUGCAAGGAGAUCCAACCAGUCCAUUCUGAAGGAGAUCAGCCCUGGGAUUUCUUUGGAAGGAAUGAUGCUAAAGCUGAAACUCCAGUACUUUGGCCACCUCAUGCAAAGAGUUGACUCAUUGGAAAAGACUCUGAUGCUGCGAGGGAUUGGGGGCAAGAGGAGAAGGGGAUGACAGAGGAUGAGAUGGCUGGAUGGCAUCACUGACUCGAUGGACGCUUCUCUGCCUUGCCCAUUCCCUGCCUCAGCUCACCCAAGGCCAUCUGAAGCAGUGUGUUUCCUGUUGCUCUGGCUUUCAUUCCCUCAAGUACAAGAAGCUACUGGGAGCUGUAAAUGCCUCCAUUAAAAAAGGAGAACAAUGUCAGAUCAAUAACAUUUACUUCAUACUUUUAGUGGUGCAUAACUCUUCACAUAACCCUACAUGGUAGAAUGGUCAAAACCUGCCAAGUCUUUAAAUAAAGAUGAUGGGAAAGAAAAAAUCGAAGAUAACUCCUAGAUUCUGUCUUGAGCAGAAGGUGGUGCCAUUUUUUAAGGGAGGGAAUAGAGGAACAGCAGUUUACAGGAAGGCUGUAGCCAAAGGGAUCUGAGAUAGUAAGUUUAAUAUCUGAUGUAUUGAGUCAGAAGUUCCUGAAAGACAUUAAACUAGAUAUGCCCACGAGUCCAUUUAUGAGUAUGGACCUUGGGACUGGCUUAGGUUAGGAUGUUCUUUGGAUUUACUCCCUUUUGUGCAAUAUGUGGUUUUUGAAGCCAGAAAUGUGGGAUGAAAUCAUCCAGGGA
ensembl:lncRNA